rnacentral:rRNA from 1 species
UACGGGGGGGGCGAGCGUUGUUCGGAAUCACUGGGCGUAAAGGGCGCGUAGGCGGCCCGCACAAGUCUGCGGUGAAAACCUCCGGCUUAACCGGGGGCCGGCCGUGGAAACUGUCGGGCUGAAGGCUGGGAGAGGGCAGCGGAAUUCCCGGUGUAGCGGUGAAAUGCGUAGAGAUCGGGAGGAACACCGGCGGCGAAGGCGGCUGCCUGGACCAGUCCUGACGCUGAGGCGCGAAAGCUAGGGGAGCAAACGGG